UCCGGCUUGUCGCCGGCAGUCUCUCUAGAGUCCCCACCAUUACGUGCUGGCAACUAAAGACGGGGGUUGCGCUCGUUGCGGGACUUAACCCAACAUCUCACGACACGAGCUGACGACAGCCAUGCACCACCUGUAUACGAGUGUCCAAAGAGACCCCCAUCUCUGGGGGCUUCCCGUAUAUGUCAAACCCAGGUAAGGUUCUUCGCGUUGCAUCGAAUUAAUCCACAUGCUCCGCCGCUUGUGCGGGCCCCCGUCGAUUCCUUUGAGUUUUAGCCUUGCGGCCGUACUCCCCAGGCGGGGCGCUUAAUGCGUUAGCUACGGCACGGAUCCCGUGGAAGGAAACCCACACCUAGCGCCCACCGUUUACGGCGUGGACUAC
rnacentral:misc_RNA from 1 species